rnacentral:tRNA from 1 species
UUUACAAAAGUUUAAUUUAAACGUUAAGUUUUGAACUUAAAGUCAGUGGUGAUCUCCACUUUGUAAAA